GUACUUUGUAUUAAUAAUAAAAGUUCAUAGCAGAUAAUGUAAAAGAUAAUUAAAGCAAGAUAGUUACAGUAAUUAAACCUAUGCAUGGGGGUUAGCCUUGGCUAACCUCCCUUCAUCCUUCGUGGAUGAGCAUUUGCAACGCGUCCCACUGGAGCAACGCUUGUCGUUCACUCGGAUUAGAGCACCUUCGUUUGAAUUUACUCUCAUCAAACCCAAUUUCUGUCACUGCGGGAAUCUGUCUCAGCAGCACCUGUUUGGGCUCGCGUCGUGCCUUCACCCUCCUUGAAUUCCUUUGCUUUCAUAUGUGGAAGAGG
rnacentral:lncRNA from 1 species